ACGUAGGGUGCAAGCGUUAAUCGGAAUUACUGGGCGUAAAGCGAGCGCAGACGGUUAAUUAAGUCAGAUGUGAAAUCCCCGAGCUCAACUUGGGAAGUGCAUUUGAAACUGGUUGACUAGAGUGUGUCAGAGGGAGGUAGAACUCCACGUGUAGCAGUGAAAUGCGUAGAGAUGUGGAAGAAUACCGAUGGCGAAGGCAGCCUCCUGGGAUAACACUGACGUUCAGGCUCGAAAGCGUGGGUAGCAAACAGG
rnacentral:rRNA from 1 species